rnacentral:rRNA from 1 species
GAUGAACGCUGGCGGCGUGCUUAACACAUGCAAGUCGAGCGGAUAGUUGUGCUUGCACAACUAUUAGCGGCGGACGGGUGAGUAACGCGUGGGUAACCUGCCUUACACUGGGGGAUAACAUAGUGAAAACUAUGCUAAUACCGCAUAAGACCACGAGAUCACAUGAUUUUGGGGUAAAAACUCCGGUGGUGUAAGAUGGACCCGCGUCUGAUUAGCUAGUAGGUGAGGUAACGGCUCACCUAGGCGACGAUCAGUAGCCGACCUGAGAGGGUGAUCGGCCACAUUGGGACUGAGACACGGCCCAAACUCCUACGGGAGGCAG